rnacentral:lncRNA from 1 species
UGCAGCAUCGCAUGGCCUGUGGGGGUGCAGUGCAUCAUCCUCUAUCUUUCUCUCUCCUGCACAGUUCACUGCUUCUCUCUCUUUCCCAGAGAGAUAGAGAGUCACAGCCUCACAGGUGCAUGAGCAUUGAGCAUGGCCAAGGCCCAAGGGCUCUUCCUUGGCUGCCUGGUACUCUUCUGCAACUCUGUUGCUCCACAUAGUGUCACAUGCACCAGUGCCUCCC